ensembl:snoRNA
AAGGCAGCCAGUUAGUCUGCUUAUCUGGAUGUGUUUCUGCAGAAAUGUAGAGAAAGCUGACAAUAGUGAUGCCAUGUUACGAGACUUAGGGACAAGGUCAUUAGGAUCCCUGAGAAUGGCUACAAUA